GUUGAAGCCUCAAUAUAUAGCAAAAAAUGACAGGUGCAAGAUCCUUACCCAUUCAUAUAGGCGGAGGAAGGAAAAAGAGAGAGGAAAAAAUGCAUGGUAUUUUAACCAAUUAGUAUUAAUUCACACCAUCCUCCAGUAACAAAAUCAAAGUCGAAGAUCGUUCCCGAUUGGUCUACCAUUCAGGAUUUGGCUACCCGUGAAGAUUCUCAAAUUACAAUGGAUUUGGUUACCCAUGAAGAUUUUCAAAUUAGAAAAUCGAAGUAGAUUGUUCCAAUUUGGCUACCCGUGAAGAUUCUCAAAUUACAAAAGCAAAGACUAAGAUCAUUCCUAAUGGUACCAUUAAAGGAUCUGACUUCCUGAAUAAGCUCCCUCCCAUCUGGAUCAAAUGAGAGGGAGAAUCGAUAAAAGUUGGGGGAGACACAGAGGAAGCCACCGUAAACUGGCAGCGAUAGCGAAAGAGCUAGUGGAGCUUCAAGGCAAUGCGAUUUGUAUGGCCUUGUGGGCAAAAGCUAAGGGCAUCAGGGGACUCGAGACUAAAGGCGGGUUACUGGUAAGGUACUGAAAGAUCUCGGCAAGAAAUGGUAGGCCCAAAUCGUUGCCCAAACUCUCUUGCCUUUAUAGUUGCUCCUCUUGUCGUUGUCCCUCUCGCGACCGUCCCUCCUGUUGCCCACUCCCUCGUGUCAUCGUCGCUUUCUCUCACUUGCCAUUGCCUUUGUAGCGGUUGCCCUUCCCAAUGCUGUCAGCUUCACAGGUUUUGUUCAAAUGGCAAACUCCUCCACUUACCUGAGGCAUUGAUGUGAAUAUAGAUAUCUAACACCGAUUUGCAUAGUAAAAGUGGACCAAAAUUUGAGAUGCUUUUCUGAAAUUAGAUUCAGAUUAGCCACUUUGGUCGACUUCUUGCAGAGAUCAGGUUGAACAGUGAUUAGAAUUUACUCUUAUGACUUCCACAAACUCAUGAACUGAUAUUUAUGAUUUUAUUCCAUAUUUGCUUUCCCACAACCUGAUUGACCUCAUUAAUUUUGAUAUUUUGAUAAUUGAUUUAUUACUUGGUGAGCUAGAUAGUAUAUAUAGACAUUGUGUCUGUCUUGUCUAUAGGCACUCUUUUGUGUGGAUUUUUUUUUCACUUUGCUUGAACAUGGUUGUGGCAUUUCUGCUGCAACUUAUGUUCUCUUUUUCUCCUGUGCCAUAUAUUAAGCAUGCAUCCAUGACUUCUUGUUGGCGUAUUUUGUGCUCUCCUGCCAUAAGCGGAGCGCUUUAUCUGGCUAGUUGCGCCUACUUUUGCAUGUGAGCCUUCUGCUUAAGUAUCUAUUUUGUCACAAUGUUCAUGCAAAUUUCUUUUGAAACCUUCUUGUCGUUUGAAUGUCUAGAUUCUCUCAUGGAUCCAACAUUAAUAACCCCAAUGAGAUUGUCAAAGCAGCUGAAGGCCAUCACUUGGGUCUUGGGCAUGGCUUUGCCAGUUUUGGUUUCUGGUGGCUCUGUAAUCAUAUUGUUAGGAACAUUAUUGAUUGCUAUUAUGGUUCGUUUUCACAGGUUGAUGUUUUUUUCCUUGAACUGUGGUUCAUUUUCACAGGUUGAUUGCCAUUAUGGAUCUCUUUACUUCCUUGGUAGACAGUAGGCACUAACAUCUGAUUUAUCAGACACUUUUCUCCGUAGCAUUUGCUGCUGGGGAUUAGGCUCCCCGAAGCCUUUUAUUACCAAAGGAUUAAUGCAUUACAGGAAAACAAGAAUGACCAGACGCUUGUCUCAAGCAUAUAUUGUUGAUUCCUAUAUCUUUAAUGGCAAUUCUGCUGUGGCUUUAAGUUUGAUUAUCAUGUUAUGCCUUUACAUGCUGUCCCACCUUCAGAUGUUAGUUUGUGCAUCUAACUUCACCUUCUUGUUUGCAUUGUGAUCAAGUUUUCCUUGUAUUGGUCGAUUUUGUUGUGGAGAUGCACUGCCACAUGCAUAUUGAUAUCCACAGGUUCUGUGAUGUAAACUUUUAUGAACAUUUUUUUUGGGAGGAUGCGUUGGUAAUAAUAACUUAGCUGGAGACGGUGACAAAAUCACUGGUAUAGACGCAUUAAAAGCCACGAUCAACGACCGGCCACUAUGCUCAUUUAUUUGUAUCAUUACUGAUGCAUGUUUCAUGUCAGUAAAUGUUUCUCUUCCUUUUUUAUUUUGUCAGUAAAACUUUCAUUGACACUGCACUGACUUUUUUUUUUUAGCGCCAGUAGGUAUGUUGUAAAAGGUUUACUGAUGCUUUGUCUCUCUUUAGUAAUAUCAUUUUGGCACUAAUAAGGGAUCAUUUUUUUGUA